AAAGAGGUGGGGUUUCAGGUGUCUCCGGAAGGUGGUGAUUGACUCCGCUGUCCUGGCGUCUUGAGGGAGCUUGUUCCACCAUUGGUGCCAGAGCAGCGAACAGUUUUGACUGGGCUGAGCGGGAACUGUGCUUCCGCAAAGAAACAGUGCUCGGAUCUUGUCCCCUGGACCUUGGAGGACUUUUGGUGUGGAUGAUGUUCAGGGCCUACCAAAGCAAGAUUUCUCAAACAACUGUGUGGUGUUUGUUUUGAUGAAAAAUAAGCAGCAAAUUAGGUGACGGGGGUGCCUAGUUCUCCUGCAGAACUUUCCCAUGCUGUAAGUCUUGAACAUUAUAAAAACGUUUCAUUUGCAUCCUUAAAAUCACUUGUUUCAUGUUGUAGCCAGACUGACCUGAAAAUAUGUUCAUAUUGAAUGUAUGUCAUUCACUCACUAAGGUCUGAAGAAGAAAGGUUGAAAGAUCGAAAAAGGCGGCGAAAACAAAAC
rnacentral:lncRNA from 1 species